CAACUACUCCCUCUGUCCCAAAUUUCUUGUCUUAGAUUUGUCUAGAUACAGAUGUAUCUAAUACUAAAAUGUGACUUGAUACAUCCAUAUCUAGAUAAAUCUAAGACAAGAAUUUUGGGAUGGAGGGAGUACUUU
rnacentral:pre_miRNA from 1 species